AGUUUGAUCAUGGCUCAGAUUGAACGCUGGCGGUAUGCUUAACACAUGCAAGUCGGACGGUAGCAGGCCUUCGGGCGCUGACGAGUGGCGGACGGGUGAGUAAUGCAUAGGAAUCUGCCUAUUAGUGGGGGACAACGUGGGGAAACUCACGCUAAUACCGCAUACGCCCUACGGGGGAAAGCUGGGGACCUUCGGGCCUGGCGCUAAUAGAUGAGCCUAUGUUGGAUUAGCUAGUUGGUAGGGUAAAGGCCUACCAAGGCGACGAUCCAUGGCUGGUCUGAGAGGAUGAUCAGCCACACUGGGACUGAGACACGGCCCAGACUCCUACGGGAGGCAGCAGUGGGGAAUAUUGGACAAUGGGCGAAAGCCUGACGCAGCCAACCCGCGUGUGUGAUGAAGGCCUUCGGGUUGUAAAGCACUGUCGUGAGGGAAGAAGAUCUGACGGUACCUCACAAGAAAGCACCGGCUAACUCCGUG
rnacentral:rRNA from 1 species